GUUGGUGAACCAGCGGAGGGAUCAUUACCGAGUUUACAACUCCCAAACCCAAUGUGAACGUUACCAAACUGUUGCCUCGGCGGGGUCACGCCCCGGGUGCGUAAAAGCCCCGGAACCAGGCGCCCGCCGGAGGAACCAACCAAACUCUUUCUGUAGUCCCCUCGCGGACGUAUUUCUUACAGCUCUGAGCAAAAAUUCAAAAUGAAUCAAAACUUUCAACAACGGAUCUCUUGGCUCUC
rnacentral:misc_RNA from 1 species